CCUACGGUAGGCUGCAGUGAGGAAUAUUGGUCAAUGGGCGCGAGCCUGAACCAGCCAAGUCGCGUGAGGGAAGACGGUCCUAUGGAUUGUAAACCUCUUUUGUCGGGGGGCAAAAGACGCCACGCGUGGCGUUCCGAGAGUACCCGAAGAAAAAGCAUCGGCUAACUCCGUGCCAGCAGCCGCGGUAAUACGGAGGAUGCGAGCGUUAUCCGGAUUUAUUGGGUUUAAAGGGUUCGGAGGCGGAAGAUCAAGUCAGCGGUAAAAUUGAGAGGAGAAACCUCUUCGAGCAGUUGAAACGGGUUUUAUUGAGUGAAUGAGAAGUAUGAGGAAAGCGUGGGGUAGCGGUGAAAUGAAUAGAUAUCACGAAGAA
rnacentral:rRNA from 1 species